AUUGAACGCUGGCGGAAUGCUUUACACAUGCAAGUCGAGCGGCAGCGCGGGGCAACCUGGCGGCGAGCGGCGAACGGGUGAGUAAUACAUCGGAACGUACCCAAUCGUGGGGGAUAACUAUCCGAAAGGAUAGCUAAUACCGCAUAAGUCCUGAGGGAGAAAGCAGGGGAUCGCAAGACCUUGCGCGAAUGGAGCGGCCGAUGUCGGAUUAGCUAGUUGGUGGGGUAAAGGCCUACCAAGGCGACGAUCCGUAGCUGGUCUGAGAGGACG
rnacentral:rRNA from 1 species